rnacentral:rRNA from 1 species
GACGAACCGUGCGAACGUUGUUCGGAUUCACUGGGCUUAAAGGGCGCGUAGGCGGUUCGUACAGUCAGACGUGAAAUUCCUGGGCUCAACCUGGGGGCUGCGUUUGAUACGUGCGGACUUGAGUGCGGAAGAGGGUCGUGGAAUUCCCAGUGUAGAGGUGAAAUUCGUAGAUAUUGGGAAGAACACCGGUGGCGAAGGCGGCGACCUGGUCCGAUACUGACGCUGAGGCGCGAAAGCGUGGGGAGCAAACAGG